AUAGUUUAUAUUCCAAGACAAUAGAAACAAAUAAUUCAUUGAAACGAUAUUUGCAUUGCUUUAUCAGAAUGAGUUCCAAUCCGAAAGACAUCUCCAAGAGUUUGGGCGACAAGAAUAAGCAGCCGCCGCAACCUUCGAAAAACAAUGGUUCGGACUCUAAAAUCGGUGGCAAACCAAAGACUACUGGAUCCGGUCUUGCCUAUGUCAAUAGAAAUACUUGAAAUGCCAACAACUGCAUGCAAGGGGAAAAAGAUUCAAACAAAGGUGAUCAUGUGGAAGUGGGAACUAUGUAUGAAGAACUUUUAGGGUAGCAGAAUAUGGUUAUACACAGUCAUUAUUUGUUAAUAUCUUAAUAUUGUUCGUUUCAUAACCCUUUGUAAUUUACAAAUUUUAGAGCUAGCUAGUACGUAGUUAUAUACCAAAUAUCCCAUUUGCGUGUAAAUUUAUAAUAAAAACUAAUAUAUUUGAAACUUUUAUUAUAUGUUAUGUGCAAGCUCCUUAUGAUUAUCAAAGGAUCGAUAACUCACAAAUAGCCUGUUACGUUUGUCCCUGUAUGGAAAGAUUUAUUAAUAAAGUAGCUUUAUAUAUUAA